rnacentral:lncRNA from 1 species
GACGUCAUCCAGCCCCCAAGGCUCCAGGACGCAAAGGGUCCCCUGAUCUGGCAGUCCCUGGACCUACCCUGGAGAGCGUGGGGGGACAAAGGCCGGACGCGCCGCCCGCUGCCGCCUCCAGGAAGCCCUCCCUUGCCAGGACAGUGGAGUUGGCCGGGUCCUUCCAAAGUGCCUACGGAAAGCUUUGUCCCAUCCUUGAAAAAUUGCUAAUGGGUUUGGAGAUACGAGGUGGAGAUGACUAGCAAUCAAACUCAAAGGUGGAAGUCACAUCGAGGCAGAUGAGCAGAUGAGGGGACCUAGAGAAGAAGAGAGGUGCAAGGAGAGCCCAGCCAGCAGGAACAUCUGCCCCAGUAGGCAGCACUGCCCCACAUCAGAGUCGAGGAAAGCAAAGCUCGGAUUGGAUAAAAGAAACUUGCAAACACGGUCAGUGCUUACUGCAUGUGGGCUCAGAGCACGUUACCCUCCUUCCCUGCAUGUUCCUGUGAAACGGGUUUACUGCUCUAACUCUCAGGGACACUGUGAAGACCAAACGAGAAAAUAGAAACAAACAUAAUUUAUAAACCAUAAAGUACUGACACCAAAAGA